GAUGAACGCUGGCGGCGUGCGUAAUACAUGCAAGUCGAGCGAACGGACGAGAAGCUUGCUUCUCUGAUGUUAGCGGCGGACGGGUGAGUAACACGUGGAUAACCUACCUAUAAGACUGGGAUAACUUCGGGAAACCGGAGCUAAUACCGGAUAAUAUUUUGAACCGCAUGGUUCAAAAGUGAAAGACGGUCUUGCUGUCACUUAUAGAUGGAUCCGCGCUGCAUUAGCUAGUUGGUAAGGUAACGGCUUACCAAGGCAACGAUGCAUAGCCGACCUGAGAGGGUGAUCGGCCACACUGGAACUGAGACACGGUCCAGACUCCUACGGGAGGCAGCAGUAGGGAAUCUUCCGCAAUGGGCGAAAGCCUGACGGAGCAACGCCGCGUGAGUGAUGAAGGUCUUCGGAUCGUAAAACUCUGUUAUUAGGGAAGAACAUAUGUGUAAGUAACUGUGCACAUCUUGACGGUACCUAAUCAGAAAGCCACGGCUAACUACGUG
rnacentral:rRNA from 1 species